rnacentral:rRNA from 1 species
GCAACCUGCCCCGAAGACCGGGAUAACACCGGGAAACCGAUGCUAAUACCGGAUACCCCCAUUGUUCCGCAUGGACCGAUGAGGAAAGGAAUCCGCUUUGGGAGGGGCUCGCGGACUAUCAGCUUGUUGGUGGGGUAAUGGCCUACCAAGGCGACGACGGUUAGCUGGUCUGAGAGGACGAUCAGCCACACUGGGACUGAGACACGGCCCAGACUCCUACGGGAGGCAGCAGUGGGGAAUCUUGCGCAAUGGGCGAAAGCCUGACGCAGCAACGCCGCGUGAGGGACGAAGGCUUUCUGAGUUGUAAACCUCUUUCAGCAGGAACGAUAGUGACGGUACCUGCAGAAGAAGCACCG